ACGAUGUUCCGCUGCAUUCUUUGGGAAUGUAAGAGCAUUUG
rfam:Sporolactobacillus laevolacticus DSM 442 Contig002, whole genome shotgun sequence.